rnacentral:rRNA from 1 species
GACGAACGCUGGCGGCGUGCUUAACACAUGCAAGUCGAACGGUAAGGCCCUUCGGGGUACACGAGUGGCGAACGGGUGAGUAACACGUGGGUGAUCUGCCCUGCACUUUGGGAUAAGCCUGGGAAACUGGGUCUAAUACCGGAUAGGACUCCGGACUGCAUGGUCGGGGGUGGAAAGCUUUUGCGGUGUGGGAUGGGCCCGCGGCCUAUCAGCUUGUUGGUGGGGUGAUGGCCUACCAAGGCGACGACGGGUAGCCGGCCUGAGAGGGUGACCGGCCACACUGGGACUGAGAUACGGCCCAGGCUCCUACGGGAGGCAGCAGUGGGGAAUAUUGCACAAUGGGCGCAAGCCUGAUGCAGCGACGCCGCGUGAGGGAUGACGGCCUUCGGGUUGUAAACCUCUUUCAGCAUCGACGAAGCGAAAGUGACGGUAGGUGCAGAAGAAGGACCGGCCAACUACGUGCCAGCCGCCGCGGUAA